AUUGAACGCUGGCGGCAGGCCUAACACAUGCCAGUCGAGCGGAUGAAGGGAGCUUGCUCCUGGAUUCAGCGGCGGACGGGUGAGUAAUGCCUAGGAAUCUGCCUGGUAGUGGGGGAUAACGUCCGGAAACGGGCGCUAAUACCGCAUACGUCCUGAGGGAGAAAGUGGGGGAUCUUCGGACCUCACGCUAUCAGGUGAGCCUAGGUCGGAUUAGCUAGUUGGUGGGGUAAAGGCCUACCAAGGCGACGAUCCGUAACUGGUCUGAGAGGAUGAUCAGUCACACUGGAACUGAGACACGGUCCAGACUCCUACGGGAGGCAGCAGUGGGGAAUAUUGGACAAUGGGCGAAAGCCUGAUCCAGCCAUGCCGCGUGUGUGAAGAAGGUCUUCGGAUUGUAAAGCACUUUAAGUUGGGAGGAAGGGCAGUAAGUUAAUACCUUGCUGUUUUGACGGUACCAACAGAAUAAGCACCGGCUAACUUCGUG
rnacentral:rRNA from 1 species